rnacentral:rRNA from 1 species
GUCCACGCCGUAAACGGUGGAUGCUGGAUGUGGGGACCAUUCCACGGUCUCCGUGUCGGAGCCAACGCGUUAAGCAUCCCGCCUGGGGAGUACGGCCGCAAGGCUAAAAACUCAAAGAAAUUGACGGGGGCCCGCACAAGCGGCGGAGCAUGCGGAUUAAUUCGAUGCAACGCGAAGAACCUUACCUGGGCUUGACAUGUUCCCGACAGCCGUAGAGAUACGGUCUCCCUUCGGGGCGGGUUCACAGGUGGUGCAUGGUCGUCGU